UAACACAUGCAAGUCGAGCGGUAACAGAAAGUAGCUUGCUACUUUGCUGACGAGCGGCGGACGGGUGAGUAAUGCUUGGGAACAUGCCUUGAGGUGGGGGACAACAGUUGGAAACGACUGCUAAUACCGCAUAAUGUCUACGGACCAAAGGGGGCUUCGGCUCUCGCCUUUAGAUUGGCCCAAGUGGGAUUAGCUAGUUGGUGAGGUAAUGGCUCACCAAGGCAACGAUCCCUAGCUGGUUUGAGAGGAUGAUCAGCCACACUGGAACUGAGACACGGUCCAGACUCCUACGGGAGGCAGCAGUGGGGAAUAUUGCACAAUGGGCGAAAGCCUGAUGCAGCCAUGCCGCGUGUGUGAAGAAGGCCUUCGGGUUGUAAAGCACUUUCAGUCAGGAGGAAAGGGUGUGAGUUAAUACCUCACAUCUGUGACGUUACUGACAGAAGAAGCACCGGCUAACUCCGUGCCAGCAGCCGCGGUAAUACGGAGGGUGCGAGCGUUAAUCGGAAUUACUGGGCGUAAAGCGUACGCAGGCGGUUUGUUAAGCGAGAUGUGAAAGCCCCGGGCUCAACCUGGGAACUGCAUUUCGAACUGGCAAACUAGAGUGUGAUAGAGGGUGGUAGAAUUUCAGGUGUAGCGGUGAAAUGCGUAGAGAUCUGAAGGAAUACCGAUGGCGAAGGCAGCCACCUGGGUCAACACUGACGCUCAUGUACGAAAGCGUGGGGAGCAAACGGGAUUAGAUACCCCGGUAGUCCACGCCGUAAACGAUGUCUACUAGAAGCUCGGAACCUCGGUUCUGUUUUUCAAAGCUAACGCAUUAAGUAGACCGCCUGGGGAGUACGGCCGCAAGGUUAAAACUCAAAUGAAUUGACGGGGGCCCGCACAAGCGGUGGAGCAUGUGUUUAAUUCGAUGCAACGCGAAGAACCUUACCUACACUUGACAUACAGAGAACUUUCUAGAGAUAGAUUGGUGCCUUCGGGAACUCUGAUACAGGUGCUGCAUGCUGUCGUCAGCUCGUGUGUGAGAUGUUGGGUAAGUCCCGCAACGAGCGCAACCCCUAUCCUAAGUGCUAGCAGGUAAUGCUG
rnacentral:rRNA from 1 species